rnacentral:rRNA from 1 species
UGGGGAAUUUUGGACAAUGGGCGAAAGCCUGAUCCAGCCAUGCCGCGUGCAGGAUGAAGGCCUUCGGGUUGUAAACUGCUUUUGUACGGAACGAAAAGACUCUGGUUAAUACCUGGGGUCCAUGACGGUACCGUAAGAAUAAGCACCGGCUAACUACGUGCCAGCAGCCGCGGUAAUACGUAGGGUGCAAGCGUUAAUCGGAAUUACUGGGCGUAAAGCGUGCGCAGGCGGUUGUAUAAGACAGAUGUGAAAUCCCCGGGCUCAACCUGGGAACUGCAUUUGUGACUGNAUAGCUAGAGUACGGCAGAGGGGGGAUGGAAUUUCCGCGUGUAGCAGUGAAAUGCGUAGAUAUGCGGAGGAACACCGAUGGCGAAGGCAAUCCCCUGGGCCUGUACUGACGCUCAUGCACGAAAGCGUGGGGAGCAAACAGGAUUAGAUACCCUGGUAGUCCACGCCCUAAACGAUGUCAACUGGUUGUUGGGUCUUCACUGACUCAGUAACGAAGCUAACGCGUGAAGUUGACCGCCUGGGGAGUNCGGCCGCAAGGUUGAAACUCAAAGGAAUUGACGGGGG